CUGAGGGGCCGCGGGGCCGCCAUUGCCGGCCCUUCUCAGCCGAGACCCCUGAGGGGCCGCCAUGGCCGCCCCUUCACAGUUCGCCCCCUCACAGUUCGCCCCCUCACAGCCGCCGCUCCCUGCUCGCUCUGGGGACACCCGGCCCAAUUUGGGGCCGCCGAGCCGCCCCCGCUCCGCUCCCGCCGGGCGCCCUUCCAGCCCUUCCCCGCGGGCUCCGCUCCCUCAGGGCGGCGCAGGAUCCCUCGUGUAAAACGCCUGAAUAAUCGUCCUCUCCCGUGGAGAGCUUGUUCCUCUGUAAUAGUCAAGCUGUUGGGAGUGUGGAGAGGCUGAGCAGUGAAUCCACCCAGACUGUCUCCCUUUGACUCUUUAGGAGGAACUUUUUGGAACAGUUCAUUUUAUAUAUGUUUAUUUGACAAAGCCCUAAAAUAUUAUAUAUCCAGUGAGUCUCCUCCUGCACAGUUUAUUUAAGUCAAGUAAACCUUUUUAAGGAGAGGAAAUGUCUAAUUUUACUCCUCACUUUUGGCCAGUGUGGGCUGUGCUGAUGGAUGAGAGGAGAGGGAGCAGGAAAAUGAAGGAGGAGAAGGAAUAAAACAUGGAAUAAGUGCUGAGGUUUUUCCCAGCAAACACACAGGGAAGGAGCUGAGCUGGGAAACGUGUUGUCAGCAUGACAUGAUCCAUCCAACAUUCCCAAAUAUUCCCAGGUACAAAAUCUUCCUCUUACACCUCACAUUUGGGCAUUAUUCUGCCCAAAGACUGGACUUUUCUGGGGUGGAUGUUCCGUGAGGGCCUGAAAACCCACGACUGGAAUGUGUUGGCUUCCUCUCCUGCUCCAAAUCUCUUCUCCAAACUCAGGUUUUUCAGCAGC